AAGCCAUGGUGAGGGCACCUUCUCAAUAAAUCCUUGUAUCUCUCCCAUGCAUCAUAUAGUGUUUCUAAAUC
rnacentral:snoRNA from 1 species